rnacentral:tRNA from 1 species
GCCCGGUUAGCUCAGUCGGUAGAGCAUCAGACUUUUAAUCUGAGGGUCAAGGGUUCGAGUCCCUUAUCGGGCG